rnacentral:rRNA from 1 species
AUGCCGAACCAUGGAUGGACGGGGUUAGCGCCUCGAGGAAGCGACGGUUCUGGUUCUAGGGAGGAAGAGACACGCCAAAUCUUUCCGAUCCCCACGCAUGUGGCUUUGCUGAUUUCGAUUAGCCUCCAUCUCGCUGUUGGGAUGGGGAUGUUUAAUGGAUCCGUGCUUCUCUCGCUUCAUGUGCAUCCAUCCCGUCCUCCUGUAUGUACGUCGUUGACUCGUUUUCCGAGUCUAAUAGAGAAUUGUCUCUGUGUAUGUGCAAUCUACAGCGUACUUUGGGGGAGGAGUACCACCCAUGGAUUGAUCCUUCGCUGGCAGGGCCGGGGCCAGGCCGGCGGUCAUGUCUUUCAGGUUGGCAGCGAGGGAGGAGCAGCAAGGCAAGCUCAUGUUACCCAAGUAGCAGGCCUCCUGUGUCCUGAGUCCUGA